CCCUUAGAUGUCCUGGGCCGCACGCGCGCUACAAUGACACGUUCAACAAGUACUUUCCUGGCUUGGAAAAGUUUCGGGUAAUCUUUAUAAUACGUGUCGUGCUGGGGAUUGAUCUUUGGAAUUAUAGAUCUUGAACGAGGAAUUCCUAGUAAGCAUAAGUCAUCAGCUUGUGCUGAUUACGUCCCUGCCCUUUGUACACACCGCCCGUCGCUCCUACCGAUUGAGUGGUCCGGUGAGGCUUUGGGAUCUGAGCGGAAAGAGCGUUUCGCUGUUUCUGCUCGGAAAGCUCAGUCGAACCUUAUCAUUUAGAGGAAGGAGAAGUCGUAACA
rnacentral:rRNA from 1 species